GAAUUUUCCUUUUUCAUUUUGUACUUAAUCCCUCCAGUCUUUUGUGACAACCCAGCCCAUAUUUGCUCAUUGUGACAGACGCUAUCAAAAUCCUCUUAAAUGCCAGAGCCAUUGGAUAAAGGGAUAAGGAGGGAGUGACUUGCAGAGAUGCCCUAUUGCAGCUAUUUAAAAGCAAGAAGGACUGAAUUGCAACCAAAUGGUUGUGGUCAGAUACGCUGAGUUAUUUCUAUAGAGCAGGACUUUCAAAAGUACCAGACUGAACAUCAUACUUGGGUGCCCAGAAGGUAUACAACUGGUGCAGGCAGAGCACCACUGCUGUAAGAGCUGCUUACAGAGAAACAACCAACCGACCUAAAACCCAAGAUGCAGAGGUUGUCCCUGACUGACUUGCAACACUUGACCAUCCGUGCAAGGGAGGAGAGCCCCUGUGUGCCUCUGCCAUCCUUGUGUAUGCUGAGCUUGUCUCUGUCAGGGUUAGGUUUACCUGCCUUCCAUUUCGUUUCUCCUUGCUCUGGUUCUGUAAGCGAACUGUACAGUGUGAACUGUAAUUGGAAUAAGAUGCCCUUGGAAAAUCUGACACAUUACAGAAAAAUUGUGUCAUGAUUGACAGAGAGGUUUUGUUAUAUUCAGAAGGUGUAGUUAUAUGUGAAAUAAAAUGAGAGGCGGAAGCAAAGUGAUUUUCCUUGUUUGGGAAAGCUAAGCAAGAGUUUGUUUCAGUUCUGCUGGUAGGGAAGAUGACAUUAGGAAAUAGCUAAAUUCUGUAUCUAUUAAGUUCUAACGAAAACUACAGUAUACACAAACAUGCUGCUCCUCCUUACUGCCUGAGAGAGACUGUUAUCAUCAUAUUUUGUGACCAAAGGUAUAUUAUUGAAAGAACAAAUGUUGGCUUCCCCCUCCUCCCCCCCUCCCCAUUAUGCUUUUAAACCUAUUACUGAACUUUGGAGUUCAACAUAUUAAAGUUCAUCUGCAGUUAGCAAAAUGGCACAUUUUCUCUAUAGAAGCCGAAUCUUAAAUUAUGGAAAUAUGCAGCAGCAAAUUAUGUAGUACCUUUCUACAAAUCACUGACGACAUAAUAGUAUGAAUUUCUGAGGAAACAGUAAUGUGUUAAACCAAGCUUUCUUUGUUCCUCGUGUGGCAUUACAGGCAGAGAAGAUGAGAUAACGCCAUAUAGUUGAUCUUUUUCCAGUGCUUUUGUAAAGGCUGAAAUGUAUUAUCUUUGGUGUAUCACUGCCUUUUGGUAAAAUGAGGUAAGAAAGUUGUUUUCUGUUUUCUCUCAUAAGCCAACCAAAGCCCAGCAUGUUUUUGGGGUCCAAUUUUGAAUUUUUGUUCAUAUUACAAAUCGAUGUGACAUGGCAACUAUUGAGGCUUUCUGGCAUGUACAAAACAUUUGUUCAGCUGAAAAAUAAGUGGCGGAAAAAGAGCCAGCGGUGACAUGUCCAGAUGGGAGCACAUUGGAGUGCUGCGAAGCAAAACACCUGGCAUCAAGAAAUGGGGAAAUACAGUUGAUGACUGUGUGCCUGGAUGCAGGGCAUCCAUGUGAGUGGGCAUUGCAGCUUUGUUGAGGACCACCACUUCUGAGAUCUGGAUUCUUUAAAGCUGAUGCUUUGUGAAAUGUGAUGCUUUGAUGUUAGAUUAAAAAAAAUAAAUAUUGCAGACUCUUUGCAAGGAAUUAAUCUGAUAUUUUUUGAAAAGAUGGUCUUCUAGCCAACAAAGUUUGUAAAUUCAUAACCGGUCUUUCACUGGACUUCAGUUAUUUCCAGGUACCAUAGCCCAUGCCUGCAGCAGUAGCCCCAGGCUGCUCCGAGGGGGUUCAUCAUUAUCAGUGGGGAGGACUUUUUUCCUGCUGUGGAACCUGCACUGGUAGGACAUUGCAUGGAGGGGUUCUUAGGGUUUGUACAUUUGGUCAGGUCUCUUGAUAAGACAUGGAGAGUUUCACAUUGCUG